UACGGAGGAUGCAAGCGUUAUCCGGAAUGAUUGGGCGUAAAGCGUCCGCAGGUGGCUAUGUAAGUCUGCUGUUAAAGAGUCUAGCUCAACUAGAUAAGAGCAGUGGAAACUACAUGGCUAGAGUGCGUUCGGGGCAGAGGGAAUUCCUGGUGUAGCGGUGAAAUGCGUAGAGAUCAGGAAGAACACCGGUGGCGAAAGCGCUCUGCUAGGCCGCAACUGACACUGAGGAGCGAAAGCGUGGGGAGCGAACAGG
rnacentral:rRNA from 1 species